GUGCCAGCAGCCGCGGUAAUACGAAGGGAGCUAGCGUUGUUCGGAAUCACUGGGCGUAAAGCGCACGUAGGCGGAUGUGUCAGUCAGGGGUGAAAUCCCGGAGCUCAACUUCGGAACUGCCCUUGAUACAGCACGUCUUGAGUCCGGAAGAGGUGGGUGGAAUUCCUAGUGUAGAGGUGAAAUUCGUAGAUAUUAGGAAGAACACCGGUGGCGAAGGCGGCCCACUGGUCCGGUACUGACGCUGAGGUGCGAAAGCGUGGGGAGCAAACAGGAUUAGAAACCCCCGUAGUCC
rnacentral:rRNA from 1 species